AAUAAAUCAAGCCAAUUAUUAGCAAAUAGCUAAUAAUCCUUUAUACAUAUUCAUAGGCUUAAAUUAAAAUAAACUCAUCUCAAUUAAAUGAAUUAAGGACCCAAACUAAUAAUUAAGUCCAUAAUCUAAUUUAUUAUCAAAGUCCAACAACAAUUUAUUUAAAUUAAGCCCACAAAGAUUAAAUGGCCCAAGUAAUUAUCCAAGAAUCAGUAAAUUAAAACUAAACUACAACUCUUCUUUCUUAAAACAAGCAAACAGAUUUCUCUCUCUUCUCUCUCUCCUCACACACGUUCUCCCUCUCUCUGCGUUCUCUCACUCUGCGUCUUUUUUUCUCUCUCUCUCUUCCGGCGAGUGUCGCCGGUCCUCCCUGCCUCCAGCGCCGCGAGGCCGGCCCUCUCCUUUCCCCCUUUCCUUUCUUUCCAUUUCUCUUUUCCCUAAGUCUCAAUCCCCAAAUUUAAAAUCAAAAUCAUAGGGUUUCUACCUCUCUUCAUCCCCUCUGGAAUUCGUCUCUCCGGCGAAGCCUACCGCCCCGCCAUCGUCUCUGUCACGCCGCCGCCUCCUCUGUUUCAGGAAUGGGUGAUUCGAGAUGGUUUCAUCGUGGCAGUUCAUCUACAGCCCAAGACUCAGCCUUCUAUUUGGAUUAUUAUUGAUUUAUAAACCGUCGUAACUAGAUGUAUUCUGUAGAUGUUAAAGGAAAUUGAUAUUAUCUCUGCUAUUUUUGAUUACUAUCUAUGAGUGAUUACUGAGUUGUAAGAAGAAUACUACCUGCUUGUUGCUGUGAUAACUGCUGGGGAUGAACUAUAUUUGGAUGAAUCUCUGCUGUAUUAUUUAGAAAUUUCAGGAUGGGAAGAAAAUGAGAUUUACCGU